rnacentral:rRNA from 1 species
AGAGUUUGAUCCUGGCUCAGGAUGAACGCUGGCGGCGUGCUUAACACAUGCAAGUCGAGCGAAGCAGUUAAGUUGAUUUCUUCGGAUUGAUUCUUAACUGACUGAGCGGCGGACGGGUGAGUAACGCGUGGGUGACCUGCCCCAUACCGGGGGAUAACAGCUGGAAACGGCUGCUAAUACCGCAUAAGCGCACAGAGCUGCAUGGCUCAGUGUGAAAAACUCCGGUGGUAUGGGAUGGGCCCGCGUCUGAUUAGGCAGUUGGCGGGGUAACGGCCCACCAAACCGACGAUCAGUAGCCGGCCUGAGAGGGCGACCGGCCACAUUGGGACUGAGACACGGCCCAAACUCCUACGGGAGGCAGCAGUGGGGAAUAUUGCACAAUGGGGGAAACCCUGAUGCAGCGACGCCGCGUGAGCGAAGAAGUAUUUCGGUAUGUAAAGCUCUAUCAGCAGGGAAGAUAAUGACGGUACCUGACUAAGAAGCCCCGGCUAACUACGUGCCAGCAGCCGCGGUAAUACGUAGGGGGCAAGCGUUAUCCGGAUUUACUGGGUGUAAAGGGAGCGUAGACGGCAAGGCAAGUCUGAUGUGAAAACCCAGGGCUUAACCCUGGGACUGCAUUGGAAACUGUCUGGCUCGAGUGCCGGAGAGGUAAGCGGAAUUCCUAGUGUAGCGGUGAAAUGCGUAGAUAUUAGGAGGAACACCAGUGGCGAAGGCGGCUUACUGGACGGUAACUGACGUUGAGGCUCGAAAGCGUGGGGAGCAAACAGGAUUAGAUACCCUGGUAGUCCACGCGGUAAACGAUGAAUGCUAGGUGUCGGGUGACAAAGUCAUUCGGUGCCGCCGCAAACGCAUUAAGCAUUCCACCUGGGGAGUACGUUCGCAAGA